CAAGCAUGCUCAGGAGCUGGCUCUUUGCUUCAAGGCAUUUUAAUUACCCAGCGAAGUGGCAGCAGGGGAGACGGGGCCAGGCUUGGAGACAUCAGUGGUUUGGCUGGAAUGAAACGGUCCAGAUGUUGCUGCUGCCUCUAGCCUCUCUCUCUGUUCUGAUAUGUCUGCUAACACUCAAUGCCGUCCAGUAGAAACACAACCUUCCUGGGACAUAAGGGUGCACCAGGCAUUGUGUAUGGUUUUAUAUGAGUCUCCGAUUGCAUUAUUGGAAUGACUGCAAAAGGAAGACAUGGAAAAUGGGAGCUCAGAGCAAAAAAAUUCAACCCAGAUCUGCUGAUUUUAUGUACCCGGGGCAGCUCUCUUGCUCUGGGCUCAGACUCAGUGUCUCAGAAGUCACCAGAUCUCAUUCUUCCAUGGGAUGAAAAGCAGUUGCUUCUUCUCCCAGGACCCGUCCGGCUGCAUCUGUCUCAGGCUACCCAGAGAAGAUGGUGUUUGCACCCGCUGCUGAUGGGCCUUCUGGAUCAUUCCAUCUGCCACGCAACAGUGACUCCAUUAAGCUUUGUUCUUCAGGAGGCCUUUGCUACUGUCUAAUAGUUUCCAUGCAUCUAUCAAGU